rnacentral:rRNA from 1 species
GGGUUGUGAGGUUAAGCGACUAAGCGUACACGGUGGAUGCCCUGGCAGUCAGAGGCGAUGAAGGGCGUGCUAAUCUGCGAUAAGCGCCGGUAAGGUGAUAUGAACCGUUAUAACCGGCGAUACCCGAAUGGGGAAACCCAGUGUGACUCGUCACACUAUCAUUAACUGAAUCCAUAGGUUAAUGAGGCGAACCGGGGGAACUGAAACAUCUAAGUACCCCGAGGAAAAGAAAUCAACCGAGAUUCCCCCAGUAGCGGCGAGCGAACGGGGAGGAGCCCAGAGCCUGAAUCAGCAUGUGUGUUAGUGGAAGCGUCUGGAAAGGCGCGCGAUACAGGGUGACAGCCCCGUACACAAAAGCGCAUGUGCUGUGAGCUCGAUGAGUAGGGCGGGACACGUGGUAUCCUGUCUGAAUAUGGGGGGACCAUCCUCCAAGGCUAAAUACUCCUGACUGACCGAUAGUGAACCAGUACCGUGAGGGAAAGGCGAAAAGAACCCCGGCGAGGGGAGUGAAAAAGAACCUGAAACCGUGUACGUACAAGCAGUGGGAGCACAGGUUUACCUGUGUGACUGCGUACCUUUUGUAUAAUGGGUCAGCGACUUAUAUUCUGUAGCAAGGUUAACCGAAUAGGGGAGCCGGAGGGAAACCGAGUCUUAAUUGGGCGUUAAGUUGCAGGGUAUAGACCCGAAACCCGGUGAUCUAGCCAUGGGCAGGUUGAAGGUUGGGUAACACUAACUGGAGGACCGAACCGACUAAUGUUGAAAAAUUAGCGGAUGACCUGUGGCUGGGGGUGAAAGGCCAAUCAAACCGGGAGAUAGCUGGUUCUCCCCGAAAGCUAUUUAGGUAGCGCCUCGUGAAUUCAUCUCCGGGGGUAGAGCACUGUUUCGGCUAGGGGGCCAUCCCGGCUUACCAACCCGAUGCAAACUGCGAAUACCGGAGAAUGUUAUCACGGGAGACACACGGCGGGUGCUAACGUCCGUCGUGAAGAGGGAAACAACCCAGACCGCCAGCUAAGGUCCCAAAGUCAUGGUUAAGUGGGAAACGAUGUGGGAAGGCCCAGACAGCCAGGAUGUUGGCUUAGAAGCAGCCAUCAUUUAAAGAAAGCGUAAUAGCUCACUGGUCGAGUCGGCCUGCGCGGAAGAUGUAACGGGGCUAAACCAUGCACCGAAGCUGCGGCAGCGAACGUAUCACUUAAAGCGAUUCAGCGGGUUACGAUUGACGGAGCGAAGCGACGUCAAAGCGUAUACAAAGUCGAGUCGGUUUAAGGAUACGUUCGUUGGGUAGGGGAGCGUUCUGUAAGCCUGUGAAGGUGUGUCGUGAGGCAUGCUGGAGGUAUCAGAAGUGCGAAUGCUGACAUAAGUAACGAUAAAGCGGGUGAAAAGCCCGCUCGCCGGAAGACCAAGGGUUCCUGUCCAACGUUAAUCGGGGCAGGGUGAGUCGACCCCUAAGGCGAGGCCGAAAGGCGUAGUCGAUGGGAAACGGGUUAAUAUUCCCGUACUUGGUGUUACUGCGAAGGGGGGACGGAGAAGGCUAUGUUGGCCGGGCGACGGUU